GGUAAAGUCAGCUAAUUAAGCUCUUGGGCUCAUGCCCCAAACACGUAGUCUAAAUCCUACCUUUACCU
rnacentral:tRNA from 1 species